rnacentral:rRNA from 1 species
UACGAAGGGUGCAAACGUUGCUCGGAAUCAUUGGGCGUAAAGCGCACGUAGGCGGCUCCGCAAGUCGGAUGUGAAAUCCCUCGGCUCAACCGAGGACGUGCAUCCGAAACUGCAGAGCUUGAGUAUGGAAGAGGGUCGCGGAAUCCCCGGUGUAGAGGUGAAAUUCGUAGAUAUCGGGGGGAACACCAGUGGCGAAGGCGGCGACCUGGGCCAAUACUGAUGCUGAGGUGCGAAAGCGUGGGGAGCAAACAGG